rnacentral:piRNA from 1 species
UGUGAAACUCUUUGCCUCGUGAGUA